CUCUUAUCGAGAGAGGCGGAGGGACUGGCCCGAUGAAGCCCGGCAACCUGCCCGUAAGGGCAUGAGGUGCCAACACCAGCGACCGACAGGUCGAGUGAUAAGAG
rnacentral:ncRNA from 2 species